rnacentral:rRNA from 1 species
AACGAACGCUGGCGGCAGGCUUAACACAUGCAAGUCGAACGCAUCCUUCGGGGUGAGUGGCAGACGGGUGAGUAACGCGUGGGAACGUGCCCUUCAGUUCGGGAUAACCCAGGGAAACUUGGGCUAAUACCGGAUACGUGCGAGAGCAGAAAGAUUCAUCGCUGAAGGAUCGGCCCGCGUCUGAUUAGCUAGUUGGUGGGGUAAUGGCCCACCAAGGCGACGAUCAGUAGCUGGUCUGAGAGGAUGAUCAGCCACAUUGGGACUGAGACACGGCCCAAACUCCUACGGGAGGCAGCAGUGGGGAAUAUUGGACAAUGGGCGCAAGCCUGAUCCAGCCAUGCCGCGUGAGUGAUGAAGGCCUUAGGGUUGUAAAGCUGUUUCGUCCGGGACGAUAAUGACGGUACCGGAAGAAGAAGCCCCGGCUAACUUCGUGCCAGCCGCCGCCGUAAUAC